CAGCAAAGCAUUAAAAAUGAACAAGCAGUACUUAUAAAGGUGCUGAGUAUCUAUAGGCUAAUAUGCGGUUUCGUAGGAUCGUCUUAAAGUUCUAAUAUAAGGCAUGUCAAAUAACGGAAUCAUCCUAUUACCCCAUUCAGCACUUUUAAUGGUAUCUGAAAAAAAAUAAUGUAACAGUCUUUUUAAAUGGUGAGACAAAAUGAAGAAAACUAAAUGGAAACACUGUCAUAUAAAACAUGGAGAAUUUUGUAUUAUCAGUCUCCGAAUGCAUCUGGUACUUCUUUACUAUUAUUAUUUAUAUAGCGCCAACAAAUUCCAUAGCGCAGUACAAAGGGUGGACUAACAGACAUGUAAUUGUAACCAGGCAAGUGAACGCACAUGAACAGUGGAGUUGAGGGCCCUGCUCAAUGAGCUUACAUACUAGAGCGAGUGGGGUAAAGUGACACAAAGGGGAUCACUAGGUAAUUUUUGAUAGUUGCAGGAGAGGAGUCAUGGUGAGGUGACUGGGUGAAAGUCUAACAGAGAGGGGAAGGGAGUUCCAUAGGAACGGUGCAGCCCUAGAGAAGUCUUGAAGGCGAGUAUCAGAGGUGGGAACAGCGAACAGCGAAGGAUAGACGUAGGUCUUCAGCAGAGCGUAGGGGCCUCGACGGGACAUACUUGUUUAUUAGGGAGGAUAACUAGAUGGGAGCAAGCACCACAACACAAUGUCUUGGAACAACAUGCAGCGAUCUCUUCUAGACAGGAUUGGAACUACAUCCAGUGGUCUAUUCUAGACUGGAAUGAAAGUACACCCAGUGAUCUCUUCUAAAAAGGAUUGGAACUACAUCAAGCAAUCUCUUCUAGACAGGGUUGGACCUACACCCAGGGAUCUCUUCUAGACAGAACUGGAACUACACCCAGUGAACUCUUCUAGACAAGGAUGGACCUACAUUGAGUGAUCUCUUCUCGACAGGAUUGGAGCUACAUCCAACGUUCUCUUCUAGACAGGAUUGGAACUACAUCAAGCAAUCUCUUCCAGACACGGUUGGACCUACAUCCAGGGAUCUCUUC